rnacentral:rRNA from 1 species
GACAGAGGCCUCGAGCGUUAGGCGGAAUCACUGGGCUUAAAGCGUGUGUAGGCGGAUCGUUAAGUGCCUUGUGAAAUCCCACGGCUUAACUGUGGAACGGCUGGGCAUACUGGCGGUCUUGAGCCAUCUAGGGGCGACUGGAACAAACGGUGGAGCGGUGAAAUGCGUAGAUAUCGUUUGGAACGCCAAUGGUGAAAACAGGUCGCUGGGGAUGAGCUGACGCGUGA